ACCCCAGACUCCUACGGGGGCAGCAGUGGGGAAUAUUGCACAAUGGGGGAAACCCUGAUGCAGCAACGCCGCGUGAGUGAGGAAGUAUUUCGGUAUGUAAAGCUCUAUCAGCAGGGAAUAGAAAAGAAGGUACCUGAAAAAGAAGCCCCGGCUAACUACGUGCCAGUAGCCGCGGUAAUACGUAGGGGGCAAGCGUUAUCCGGAUUUACUGGGUGUAAAGGGGGCGCAGACGGCAGCGCAAGCCAGGAGUGAAAGCCCGGGGCCCAACCCCGGGACUGCUCUUGGAACUGCGCGGCUGGAGUGCAGGAGGGGCAGGCGGAAUUCCUGGUGUAGCGGUGAAAUGCGUAGAUAUCAGGAGGAACACCGGCGGCGAAGGCGGCCUGCUGGACCGUGACUGACGUUGAGGCUCGAGAGCGUGGGGAGCAAACAGGAUUAGAUACCCCGGUA
rnacentral:rRNA from 1 species